rnacentral:rRNA from 1 species
UACGUAGGGUGCGAGCGUUGUCCGGAAUUAUUGGGCGUAAAGAGCUCGUAGGCGGCUUGGCAAGUCGGGUGUGAAAACUUCAGGCUCAACCUGGAGCGGCCACUCGAUACUGCCAUGGCUUGAGUCCGGUAGGGGACCACGGAAUUCCUGGUGUAGCGGUGAAAUGCGCAGAUAUCAGGAGGAACACCAGUGGCGAAGGCGGUGGUCUGGGCCGGAACUGACGCUGAGGAGCGAAAGCGUGGGUAGCAAACAGG